rnacentral:rRNA from 1 species
ACGUAGGUGGCAAGCGUUGUCCGGAUUUACUGGGUGUAAAGGGCGUGUAGGCGGGUAGACAAGUCAGAUGUGAAAUACCGGGGCUCAACUCCGGGGCUGCAUUUGAAACUGUAUAUCUUGAGUGUCGGAGAGGAAAGCGGAAUUCCUAGUGUAGCGGUGAAAUGCGUAGAUAUUAGGAGGAACACCAGUGGCGAAGGCGGCUUUCUGGACGAUAACUGACGCUGAGGCGCGAAAGCGUGGGGAGCAAACAG